UUUCAUCCCCAUACGAUCAAAUGGAUCCAUAAUGGAUUCCUGGGACAUUUUCAGAUCUCCUUCCAGCUUCCUCUUCGCCCUUUCCAAGUCCGCCCGCAGUUUCUUCUCCUGCUCUAAGGAACCCUCAAGCUGAGAAGACACACAGAGACAAGGGCUUGCUCUGUUGCCCAAGCUAAAGUGCAGUGGUGUGAGUGUAGCCCACUGCAUCCUCACACUCCUGUGCUCAAGUGAUCCUCCCACCUCAGCCUCCCAAGUAGCUGGAACUACAAGAUGGAGUCUCGCUGCGAUGCCCAGGCUGGAGUGCAAUGGUGCAAUCUUGGCUCACUGCAACCUUCGUUUCCCAGGUUUAAGCAAUUCUCCUGCCUCAGCCUCCCAAGUAUCUGGGACUACAGGCGAGCGUCACCAUGCCUGGCUAAUUUUUGUAUUUUUAGUAGAGAUGUUUAGUAGAGAGUUUCACCAUAUUGGCCAGGCUGGUCUUGAACUCCUGACCUCAAGGGAUCCGCCCACCUUGGCCUCUCAAAGUGCUGGGAUUACAGGCGUGAGCCACCGUGCCUGGCAAUGUUUGUAGUUUCUUUCAUGAAUUUACCUCCUUUUAUUCUUUAAUCCCUGCUUAUCUCUAAAGAGUAAGUAACUGAAAGUAAUAAAACGGAAUUUUCUCAACAAUAUUUUAUAAGUUGAUUUCUUUUUCUUUCCUACAGGAAACAACCCAAUUUGCCAUCUUAAUUUGGAGUCUACUUUUUCUGAAUGACUCAGUUUUCUCUGAUACUUAAUCAAGAUGCAGCCUUGGGGGAAAAUGUCAUGUCCCAGUCUCCCCCAUGUUCCUUUCCCUUCAUCCCACUUUGUCCCCGGGGUCUAGCAUGACUGUGUGUUUGGAUUGGGGAAGUGAAGGCAGGAAAGUCGCUUCCCCAAAUCCGCAUCCACACAGGGUCUUAUGUUAGAGUUGAUGUUAUCUCUAGGCGAGGUUAUGCAAUGUAGUUACAGAGACAUUGUGAUUAGAUUCAAAGAAAAUGAUUUUCAUCAUUGAAGUUUACGCAUGUGCCCAUUUCCUAUUUAUUACAUUCCCUGGCCCAGAGGACAUUAGGCUUUCAUUUUUAAAAAAUGAUCUCAUUAUCUAAUGAAUAAUUAUAUUUCAUAUAUUUUAUUAAUUUAUUAAAUGUAUGCAUUUAAAAUGGCAUAUAAUGUUAAAACUCUAUGUUGGCUACUAUUUAAAAGUAUAUUUACUGGUAAUCU
rnacentral:lncRNA from 10 species